rnacentral:rRNA from 1 species
GACGAACGCUGGCGGCGUGCCUAAUACAUGCAAGUAGAACGCACAGUUUAUACCGUAGCUUGCUACACCAUAGACUGUGAGUUGCGAACGGGUGAGUAACGCGUAGGUAACCUGCCUGGUAGCGGGGGAUAACUAUUGGAAACGAUAGCUAAUACCGCAUAAUAUUAAUUAUUGCAUGAUAAUUAAUUGAAAGGUGCAAUUGCACCACUACCAGAUGGACCUGCGUUGUAUUAGCUAGUAGGUGAGGUAACGGCUCACCUAGGCGACGAUACAUAGCCGACCUGAGAGGGUGAUCGGCCACACUGGGACUGAGACACGGCCCAGACUCCUACGGGAGGCAGCAGUAGGGAAUCUUCGGCAAUGGACGAAAGUCUGACCGAGCAACGCCGCGUGAGUGAAGAAGGUUUUCGGAUCGUAAAGCUCUGUUGUAAGAGAAGAACGGGUGUGAGAGGGAAAGUUCAC